GAAUGGCGGAUGGCGGUGGCUUUUAAAAAUAAGACAUAUUUUAAGGCAAUUACAUGAAAAAGAACGUGUGCUCUCAAUAAAAAUGUAUUGUACAAUCAACAAGGCGGACUAACUUAUUAUGGAUUUUGUAGAUAAUGGGUCUAUUGAAUUGAAUAAAAAGAAGUAUCUACCUAUUUGCUUUUACUUCCUCGUAUUUAAGUAUUUACUUAAUAGUAAUUAAAUAAAGCAUUAAAGAAAUUA